UCGUCGCUCCAGGAGCUCGACAUUUGUAGUUCCGUAGGAAUCGAUUUAUCGUGCCAAGAAAACGAGCAUGGCACCCUAUGGCGAUUCCUUACAAAGCUACGUGUCCUUAAAAUCUCGUAUCUUACGGAUUUGGUGGCAUUACCCGAGGAGAUUCAACAUGUCAUGGCUCUACAAUCUCUCGAGAUUUAUCACUGUCAAGAAUCGAGGAGUUUGCCUCAAUGGAUUGGAAAUUUCUCUUCGCUCGAAAAGAUUGUAUUAUCUAACCGUGAAAGUUUAGAGCGUUUGCCGUUUGAGAUGCGCAACCUCGCGCGCUUGAAGGAAAUACGAAUCCGCAAUUGUCCCGCUUUGAAGGAGAGUUGCCUAACAGAUGGCCACGAAGAUUGGCCAAAGAUUGCGCACAUUCCGGUCAUUGUUUGGGAGGAUUACUUGGAUGAAUCUGACUAUUAGCAUAGCAGGUAGGUGAAAAGACUAUCACCUAUCAUGUGUUCCUUUCAAUUAUUUACUUCUUCCGUUAACUAA